AAUGUUAUAAAUAAUGUUUUAUCAUUUAUCAUUCUUGUAUAUACAUGUUAGUUAGACUUGUUCAAACAGAAUCACAAACAUUGGUUAGGGCAAUUUGUAAUGUUAGAUUGAUUCUCAAUCAAUUUGUUUGGUUUCUUUCUCAAU